rnacentral:rRNA from 1 species
CAGUAGCCGCGGUAAUACGUAGGGCGCAAGCGUUAUCCGGAAUUAUUGGGCGUAAAGAGCUCGUAGGCGGUUUGUCGCGUCUGCCGUGAAAGUCCGGGGCUCAACCCCGGAUCUGCGGUGGGUACGGGCAGACUAGAGUGAUGUAGGGGAGACUGGAAUUCCUGGUGUAGCGGUGAAAUGCGCAGAUAUCAGGAGGAACACCGAUGGCGAAGGCAGGUCUCUGGGCAUUAACUGACGCUGAGGAGCGAAAGCAUGGGGAGCGAACAGGAUUAGAUACCCGUGUAGUCCCUGUCUCUUAUAC